AACGAACGCUGGCGGCGCGCUUAACACAUGCAAGUCGAACGAGAAGGCGUAGCAAUACGCUUGUACAGUGGCGAACGGGUGAGUAAUACGUGGGCGACCUACCCUCGAGUGGGGAAUAACCCGCCGAAAGGCGGGCUAAUGCCGCGUACGCUUCCAUCUUUAUGGAGGUGGAAGGAAAGCCGUGCCGUGGGCACGGCGCUCAAGGAUGGGCUCACGUCCUAUCAGCUUGUUGGAGGGUAACGGCCUACCAAGGCUCCGACGGUAGCUGGUCUGAGAGGACGAUCAGCCACACUGGCACUGCGACACGGGUCAGACUCCUACGGGAGGCAGCAGUGAGGAAUAUUGCGCAAUGGGCGAAAGCCUGACGCAGCGACGCCGCGUGGGGGAUGAAGG
rnacentral:rRNA from 1 species